CCUACGGGUGGCUGCAGUGAGGAAUAUUGGUCAAUGGGCGCAAGGCUGAACCAGCCAAGCCGCGUGAAGGAUGACUGUGCUACGGGUUGUAAACUUCUUUUGUCAAGGAAUAAAGUGAGGCACGAGAGCCUGUUCGAGUGUACUUGAAGAAAAAGGAUCGGCUAACUCCGUGCCAGCAGCCGCGGUAAUACGGAGGAUGCGAGCGUUAUCCGGAUUUAUUGGGUUUAAAGGGGGCGUAGAUGGGAUGUUAAGUCAGUGGUGAAAGGUUGGGGGUCAACCGCGAAAUUGCAGUUGAUACUGGCAGCCUUGAGUUCAGUUGAGGUAGGCGGAAUGCGCGGUGUAGCGGUGAAAUGCUUAGAUAUCACGCAGAACUCCGAUUGCGAAGGCAGCUUACUAGCCUGCCACUGACAUUGAUGCUCGAAAGUGUGGGUAUCAAACAGGAUUAGAUACCCUGGUAGUC
rnacentral:rRNA from 1 species